rnacentral:misc_RNA from 1 species
GAUGAAGAACGUAGCGAAAUGCGAUACGUAGUGUGAAUUGCAGAAUCCAGUGAAUCAUCGAAUCUUUGAACGCACAUUGCGCCCGCCAGUAUUCUGGCGGGCAUGCCUGUUCGAGCGUCAUUACAACCCUCAGGCCCCCGGGCCUGGCGUUGGGGAUCGGCGGAGCCCCCCGUGGGCACACGCCGUCCCCCAAAUACAGUGGCGGUCCCGCCGCAGCUUCCAUCGCGUAGUAGCUAACACCUCGCGACUGGAGAGCGGCGCGGCCACGCCGUAAAACACCCAACUCUUCUGAAGUUGACCUCGAAUCAGGUAGGAAUACCCGCUGAACUUAAGCAUAUCAAUAAGCGGAGGA